UUACCUUCAAAACAAUAGGUUGCUUUCUGGCCUUGGGUGUAUCUAGAAAUACCCUCUGGGAGCUAGGUCCUGGAAUGAGGACUUCAGGACUCUGCCCGCUGCCCUAUUCUACUGUGGCUGAUGUGAUACCUGUGCCGACCUGCUCCAUCCUACCUGGGACAUCCAUCAUUCCUGUUUUCAAGAAUCCAAGUUCAAGGGGAAAAGUCAAGGACUAGAAUCACAGGUCAUAGCAUCAUUCAGUUAAGCAGGAAACUAAGAUAAGCAGUGUUCCAUCAUAAGUCUUACUCAGGGAAAGUAACUUUAUCAUCUGCAGUGCACAAGACCAGAAGAAUGACCGAUCUUUACCCCUCACCUCAUUAUAACACUAAAACCUCUGCCAAGGGGGUUCUUAUCUGCCAUUUUCUGCUCAUGUGAUGUAUGUGUUAGCAUGAUCCCUUACUACACCUGAGCAUCCUGCACUCCACCCCAUACAUGUAGUGAUGCUCACCUACUUCUUGAAUUAUUAAUGUCACCUCCUUAAGACACUGCAAUGCACUCCCCUCUGGGAGCCGGCUGGAGAAAUUUUGCUCCAGUACUGUCUCCCUUGUGUUCCAGCAUAACCCCCUAAUAAAGCUUUGUCUGGGAA
rnacentral:lncRNA from 1 species